CACCCCCUUCCCCUCCCCACCCGCCCACCUCCUGCCUCCCUCCCUCUUUCCUUCCCUCCCUUUUUCCCUCCCUCUCCUCCAGAAUUAAAGUUGGGACAGUCGCGCUCCGGGGAUGGGUGCGAGCCAACGCCUGUGCCGCCGGCUCGCUCUGCUCCGUCCCCAGAUCGCCCGGAGCCCGCUCUCCCGCCCGCCCAGGAGGGAUGCUGCUCCGGGAGCUGCUGGGACUGCUCCGCUGCUGCUGGCCCUCCCUGCUGCUGCACUGUGCCCUCCACCCGCUCUGGGGCUCCGUCCAGGUCACUCAGGGUGAGCCCCAGAAGUCAUGCUCCAAGCCUGUAGUAGAUGAAGUCCAGGAGAGCUGCCAGCAGAUCUGCCAGUGCAGGCCUCCACCACCGCCACCACCGCCACCUCCUCCCCCACCACCCCCCAGGCUGCUGGUGGUGCCGGCUCCCAAGUCUACCUUCUGCCCCACUGAAGAGACCUGGUGGCCAGGCCUGGUUAUUAUCAUUGCAGUAUGCUGUGCCACACUAGUGUUCCUCUUUGUAGUUGUCAUCAUUUGCUACAAAGCCAUAAAAAGGACUCUUGCAAAUUAAUGCAUACAUGGUGGAGAGGUCAUUAUGGACUCAGAUGCAUCAUUUCAGGCGUGUAUUACAGAGUUGAAGUUAUCUUUCAUUCACAGUUGUUUUGCAUGAAGAGUGCAACGAUUUGCUUGCUAAAGCAAAUGUGUAGCAAAUCACACUGCAAAGCAAUGCAAAGCACUUAGCAAGCAGCCUGUUUCACCUGCCACCAAGUACGUAUGUCAGGAAACCCAUGAGGAAAGAAGAGAAUGGAACCAGUCGGGCUGAAUAUGCAAUGACCUCCUCCCAGAACAACAAAACAGUUGAUAACAAUGCCGUCGUAUAAUCCCUGAGAUCCUACUGACUCUCAGGAGGUGGUAAACUUUUAAAGCACAGCAUGGAAUAUGCAAGGUGGGUGAAAUAAGGCAGCGAAAGGAGCUCUGUGGCCAAGGACUUCAUUUCAGAAAUAGCGCACGUAUCAGUGAUUCAGAAGAGAAAAGCAGACUGCUCUUCAGGCUUGCUGCUUCUCCAAGGGACGUAGAUCCAAGCUGCCCAGAGAAAAGGCAUCACAAAGCAUUGCAUGCUGCAUCUUGUGAAAGCAACAUCAUGAUGCCUCCUGUUUCUUCUUCCCCCAGUUCUUAGUCUGAAUAGAGCACUCCCAAAAAGCUCCUUAAAUAGGGUCAUCAGAGGAAAAAGUGAUCUGCUGGAGUGACAGCAGCUUAUUUUAAAUGAGCCUGAGGAUCAACGGUGGAGCUGUCACCUACAUACUUCUCCAGCCUGAGCCGUGUUUUCACCUAGGACCUCACAGCUUUGUACGCUUAUACUUUGUUCAUUCUUACCAUUCUUAUUAUUUCAUUUAAAAAAAAAAAAAAAAAGAAAGAAAAAAAGAAGAAGAAGAAGAAGAUGAAGAAGAAGAAAAACAAAGGUAAAAAAAUCUAUUAAGCCAUCAAGGAACCAAAAAUUGCAUGGAAUUGUGACUUAAAUUUGUCUGUGGUCUGGUGACUAUGCAAUUUCCAUGGCUGAAGACUUUUCAGGCAAAAGAAAAAGCAUUAAUGUAGUCAUUAGCUUUGCUAAUGAGGGACAGGAUCAAUAGGUGCUUUGAAAAUUAUUACUUUGUAAUCAGCUUCCGUUUUUUGCAUCAUGUUUCUUUUUUUAAAAAAAACCAAACAAAAAACUUCUUUUUUGGUGAAAGUCUACACAUUUCUCUGUGUUUGUUUCAUGCUGAUUUGCCAGGGAAACCCCUACAGGAAAGUUUUUGUUUACAUCCUGGAGUAUUUGGGUGGGAUUGUGUUGAAAGGAUGAGCAGCCCGUUGAAGUCCUCUUCAUUCAUUGGUGAGUGUUGCUUCCUGAAAGCGUUGAGUAUCCUGAACUGAUCUGAUCCACUGAGGAUGUUGUAGGUCUGGCUUGGAGAACCAUUUCUGAGGGCCUGGUAAGCUGGCUGUGUUCACAUUAAUUCAGUCUCCACCUAUCCUGGCAGAGACUGCCAAUUGUGCCAAAUUCAGUGUAAUAGCUUAAUGUUGUACUUUCCAUGGCAUAGAUUACUGACUACUUAAAGCAAAGCUGAAUCCACCCAAAUUCAUUUCAUGUAUGACCUCAGGUUAGAAUCAGUAAGCAACACUUGGGAUAAAGGCAGUUGAGCUGCUGGUCUUUCUCUAUCUCCUGAAGACUUUCCUUUGUGUCCCAUCACCGCACAUAUGGCAUCAUUUACCUCUGUGCUGAAAGUAACAACACGGUGAUUCUAUCUUGCUUCUUGUCUGGACCUCAAGCACCGAUUCCAUUUGGUUUCCAUGUCUGCGAGUAACUCCUGGGCACCAACUCAGUCUUGCUCUGGGACAUGUCUGUUCCCCAGCUGUCACUUCUGUCAUUAAUGCAACACACUUAUAUUUUCAGUUUGACAUAGGAUGUGCCUGAACUGCAGAAACCAGAUUUUGAACACAUUCCUGUUUGCGUCUAGUCUACCUCUAGUAUGUAGUUUGGCCUAGAGGGAGACAAGGUUCUGAACACCUUCCCUGAAUAACCUCCAGGGUGUUCAAAUCAGCAUUUUCAGAUCACGCCCACCUCUAAUAUUCUAUUACCUAUUAACCAGUAGAGUAUAUGUAAAUAUAAGCAUCUUUCUAAUGAUAAAAUGAAUUGCUGCUAUAUACCACCAUUGAGGAAUUUGUGGCGUUAUUCAUUUAGCUUUAUGGCCUGUCACCACUACUUAAAGGUUUAGCUACAUAAAAUUAUUUUCUAAAAGCUAGACUUUCUUGAGAAGUGAAUGCAAUUAUAAAAGUUAAAGGGAAUAAGUAACCCUUUGCCCAAGAGUACAAUCACUACCUUCCAUAUUUACAUUGUGUGCUUGCACAACAUACAGCGAUAUGCUCUUACAUCCAAAGUGAGAUUAAAAUGACAGAAUUUGCAUUUUGAGUCUAGUAUCCUAAAUGUUGAUUGCCUAAAGCACUUAGCCCCUAAAUACUAUAAUAAAAAUAUCACAAGUAUAUUUCUAGAAUAUUUUUAAGCUAUAACAUUUAUUUUGUUGUAGUUACCAAUAUUUGCCUUUUUUUACUCCAGUUCUUUCUGCCUAAAUGUGAUACAGUGUGAGACUGUUUGCAAGUUUAGCUGAGAGUAGAAGUGUAAAUGCAGAUGAGUUUAGCAUGAAACAGGCUCAGGAUUAGCACUUUCUCCUAAGGGUUCUUGAUUUUUUUUGUUUCCUACUAAAGCUUUAAAGGCACGUUCUGUAAAGCCAAAAUCACAAAAGGGAUUUGUAGCUCAUUAUGUUCAUCAAAAUGUGUCUGUUUCUACAAGAACAAGUCUAAAGAGGUGAUCAGUGGAUACUAUCUUAUUUUCAGUGAUGUCAGUGGUAAAAUGGCCUCGCUGACAGAAAAUCCUGAUGCAUGAGCAAUCAGGAGCAAACCUCUCACAGGCCCCGGAGGUCUUCUCAGUGGAACACAAAUGUUCAAGCCUGGUGUGGAGCAGGGAGGCAGCACAUUUCAAGGAGUCACACAUGGGGACUGGCAUCUAUUUUCAACUCUGCCAUUUAUCUGCUGUUUACUAGCAAGUAAUUUUGCCUCUCUGUGCCUCAAUUUACCCAUCUGUAUAAUUGAGAUAAAAUAGUUAACACCUCCGUGGCAGUAUUUUGAGAGAUGUGUAUGUAUCUUACUUGCACAGGCAGAGUUACAAUGCUAUUAUAUUUAACACGCUGAUAUUAAAUAAAUGUGUUUGGGAAUAUCAUUACAUAAUAUUUGUACUGCCCAAAGCACUUCAUAAAUAAACAUUCCUUCAUGUGUUUUCUUAGUCUAUUGGCCACAGAAGAGCAGUAGCAGACAAGCUGGGAGCUGCUUCUCCCUGCUUCUCUAGUCAUUUGCUCUCAGCACUUACACACAGCUGCAUGGCUGGGAGAAAUAGAAAAUUCCAUAUGGGACAGUUUUGCCUGUAGAGUCCUGAGCACCUAGAUGCAGUUGACUACAAUGCAUCAAAGGUGAUCUGAAGGUGAUCUUCAGAAGGUCUCUUGGAAAAGUAUGCUGGAAUCAGAUUUAAGUCUUCAGAAAAGACAAGCCAGAAAGGCAGCGUCUCUGGGGAAUGAGUUUUAAAGUUUUCUUAUGUGGUUUAAGGGUCUGUCUAAUUUUCUACAGUCUAUUUGGAAAGCUUUUCUGAAACUGCUUUCUAUUCUUCCUUAUUGAACCAUCAUUAAAUACAAAAGGAAGUAAACGUCUGGAUGGAUAAGGACUCGACUAAGCAGAGACUCUGGAUCUGGGGAACUGGCAGUUCAAAAUACAGCUUCACAAGCACCGCAAGUUUACUUUUAGGUACAGAAAGGUCCUGCAUAGCUCCAUUCACAAAAUAGGCAGAUCCUCAGCAGUUACAAAGAUGGCCUGUUUCUAGGCAAAAGUAUAGUGCUCUACUCUGAACCCUCUGGCCUCCAACAGAUAGCCUUGCAAAAUAGAAAACCACUUUGUUCAGUCUGAGGGAGAGAAUUAACAUUUCUUUUUAAGUAUCAACACAAGCAUAGACAGCACUUUAAGGGCCUGAGCUACAAAGCAUUGAGUUUGCUCAGCACUCAGCAGGAAGGUGAAGCUGACAUGUUCAUGUUUUGCAGGAAGCCUCAGCCCUGCAGCCCUCCCUGGCUCAUACCCACCACAGGGCUGUGACCAGGAAUGCGUCUCCACCUUGCACAGAUGUUGCAAAAACAGACAUAGAAGGAAAGAGGAGAGUUCUACCAAGCUUAAGAUAUAAAUAUGUUGAUAUAUAUCUAGAUAGAGACCUAAUUGUCCAGUCUUGCAUGCCAUAUGGUCAUGCAUAGCAUGUGAAGCGAGCGUGGCCCUGCUUCUCCAACCAGGUAAUGGCCAUAGAUGCUGCCAAGCAAUGGAGAAUCAGGCCUGUGGUAGAUAUGUAUUUACAAUGCUCCCUGCAUCUGUACAAACAAAAAUGUAUUAUUUUAAACUGCAAAAUAGUGUGUUUGAAUCAAUGCAUGAAUGUAAAUACUCUAAGAUCUGCCUUCUUGACUGUGUACCACAUGUACAGAUGAAAACAAAUAUUAUUUAUAGGAAAUCUGUAUCGGUGGUUAAAUAACUAAAGAGAAAAAAAAAUAAAUCAGAAUUAAUGUUGUCAUGUUUCUCAAACAAGCCAUUAAUGUAUAUUUAGUAUUUAAGGAUAUUGCUCAACAAGUAUGUUCCGUACCAAAAACUGUGUUGCAAAUACAGAUUGUGCAGUACCCUAUUUUAAAAAGGCACCAUAAUUAAUUUUUAUUUUAAAUAAAAAUGUACUUGUAAAAAGUU